rnacentral:rRNA from 1 species
UACGAAGGGGGGCUAGCGUUGCUCGGAAUCACUGGGCGUAAAGCGCACGUAGGCGGCUUUCUAAGUCAGGGGUGAAAUCCUGGAGCUCAACUCCAGAACUGCCUUUGAUACUGGAGAGCUUGAGUCCGGGAGAGGUGAGUGGAACUCCGAGUGUAGAGGUGAAAUUCGUAGAUAUUCGGAAGAACACCAGUGGCGAAGGCGGCUCACUGGCCCGGUACUGACGCUGAGGUGCGAAAGCGUGGGGAGCAAACAGG